UGACCGUUCCACGCACCAACUAGACCAUAUUCUCCAGGCGGAUCGGUACGCCACUCGAGUACCUGGUGCCCAUGCGUUGUCAAGGAGGUCGAGAGUUGAUUGCGGAACCCCUGUGAUAGACCAGGGUCCCCUGAAAGAGGCCAUGCGAUCAGGUGUAGGAGGCCGCGCUCCACCAACUCGUGCGAGUUGCCAUCCGGAUCCCUCAGGAGAUUCGGGAAGGUCGGUAUCAGGCGUGGGUAAUCCGCUGUCAGUUCCAGCAGCCGAGGGAACCACGGCCGAGACCGCCAUAGUGGUGUGAUCAGUACCAACGAGCCGCUGUGUUGCGUCAGUUUCGACAGCGUGCGAGCUAUCAUAUUGAACGGGGGAAAAGCGUAGAGCCGAGUCUGCGGCCAGUCUUGAAGGAACGCAUCCGUUGCUACUGCCGCCGGAUCCGGUCUCCAACUGAAGAACUUGGGUACUUGUGCGUUGAGACGGGACGCGAAAAGGUCCAUGUCGAAAGGGCCCCAAAUGUGGUCCAGACCCUGGAAGGCCGUAGCGUGCAAGCGCCAAUCUCCAGAAUCUCUCAAAUAGCGUGAGUUCCAAUCGGCCGUUGAGUUGUCCAAAC